rnacentral:rRNA from 1 species
ACGGGUGAGUAACGCGUGGGUAACCUACCCUGUACACACGGAUAACAUACCGAAAGGUAUGCUAAUACGGGAUAAUAUAUUUGAGAGGCAUCUCUUAAAUAUCAAAGGUGAGCCAGUACAGGAUGGACCCGCGUCUGAUUAGCUAGUUGGUAAGGUAACGGCUUACCAAGGCGACGAUCAGUAGCCGACCUGAGAGGGUGAUCGGCCACAUUGGAACUGAGACACGGUCCAAACUCCUACGGGAGGCAGCAGUGGGGAAUAUUGCACAAUGGGCGAAAGCCUGAUGCAGCAACGCCGCGUGAGUGAUGAAGGCCUUCGGGUCGUAAAACUCUGUCCUCAAGGAAGAUAAUGACGGUACUUGAGGAGGAAGCCCCGGCUAACUACGUGCCAGCAGCCGCGGUAAUACGUAGGGGGCUAGCGUUAUCCGGAUUUACUGGGCGUAAAGGGUGCGUAGGCGGUCUUUCAAGUCAGGAGUGAAAGGCUACGGCUCAACCGUAGUAAGCUCUUGAAACUGGGAGACUUGAGUGCAGGAGAGGAGAGUGGAAUUCCUAGUGUAGCGGUGAAAUGCGUAGAUAUUAGGAGGAACACCAGUCGCGAAGGCGGCUCUCUGGACUGUAACUGACGCUGAGGCACGAAAGCGUGGGGAGCAAACAGGAUUAGAUACCCUGGUAGUCCACGCUGUAAA